AAACCAUUUGCAACUCCACACGAUUCAAAACUUUGCAUGAAAUGAAAAUCAUUUGAAUAAAGGACCUAAGAGAGGCACAGUACAGAGGCUGCUCAAAUUUUCCAGGACACUGCUGGGUGGAAAUCAUAAGGAACUUGGAUGAAGCUCAGAUUUGCCCCUGCUGGAUGAAGAUAAUGCUAUAUUGAGGUAUGAGCAUCAGUUUGUAGAUUAUCUUGGUAGAGGACUGGUAGAUAAUUGAAGCCAGGUUGACUAAUACAUGUAUAUAGAAGCGACAUGGGCAGACA